rnacentral:rRNA from 1 species
GACGAACGCUGGCGGCGUGCCUAAUACAUGCAAGUAGAACGCUGAAGGAGGAGCUUGCUUCUCUGGAUGAGUUGCGAACGGGUGAGUAACGCGUAGGUAACCUGCCUGGUAGCGUGGGAUAACUAUUGGAAACGAUAGCUAAUACCGCAUAAGAGUAGAUGUUGCAUGACAUUUGCUUAAAAUGUGCAAUUGCAUCACUACCAUAUGGACCUGCGUUGUAUUAGCUAGUUGGUGGGGUAACGGCUUACCAAGGCGACGAUACAUAUCCGACCUGAGAGGGUGAUCGGCCACACUGGGACUGAGAAACGGCCCAGACUCCUACGGGAGGCAGCAGUAGGGAAUCUUCGGCAAUGGACGGAAGGCUGACCGAGCAAAGCCGCGUGAGGGAAGAAGGUUUUCGGAUCGUAAAGCUCUGUUGUAAGAGAAGAACGAGUGUGAGAGUGGAAAGUUCACACUGUGACGGUAUCUUACCAGAAAGGGACGGCUAACUACGUG